rnacentral:lncRNA from 1 species
AUUACAGCCGACCCAGAUUAUGCCCACUUCCAGCCGAGCCCAAGUUUCCCCCCGGCCCUCCCCAUCACUGAGCACCGCGGUGACCUCCUCCCCGCCACGCCGCCCAGCCCUGGGAGCCGCCAGCCGCCCGGCACCGCGGGCACCUCCGCUCGCCCUCCGCCGGCGCACCGCCCGCCCUGGCGGCUCCCCCGGCCGCUUCCCCGUGCGGGGUACGGCGGGGGCGCAGCCCCUGUAACCCGAAGGGCUGCCCCGCUCCCCGCCCGGCAGGCCCAGGCCCUCACCGCAGCGCUCCCCCCCCCUCCCCAAGCCGACCCCCAGAGCCAGCGGCGGGGACGGGCGAGCCCCUCCGCCCGCUCGCAGCCACCAUUUCACCGCCGAGCCUCCCCGCCACGAAGCCACCCGCAGCCCCCCCCCCCCCCCCCCCCCCCCCCCCCCCCCCCCCCCCCCCCCCCCCCCCCCCCCCCCCCCCCCCGGGGCAGGGGGCUGUCCCUCGCCGCCGCGCUCCGUCCCCUAGCAGAGAAGGGCAGCGACCCGCACACCGCCCGCACCGGGGGACCCCGCCUCGCCCCACCUGCCCCGGGGGGGCAGCGCUGCCCGGGGACCCCUCCUCACGCUCGCCGGGCACUCACCGGGCGGAGCGGGGACGGGGAGAUGGAGGCGAACGGGGCACGGCGCGGCUCCGCCUUCCUGAGGCUCUCCAUCACAAACUGAGGCAAAGCAAGCAGCUGCACCAGAGGUCCAGGAUCAUACAGACUCCUUGGAGAGGCUUAAAACGCUGAAGGAGAAGGCAGU